CCCAUGGAGUAAUCCAGUAAGACCCCUUAGAGAUGAUGAGGUUGAUAGGUCUGGUGUGGAAGCGUGGCGACACGUGGAGCUGACAGAUACUAAUCGGUCGAGGACUUAUCCAA
rnacentral:rRNA from 1 species